rnacentral:misc_RNA from 1 species
AGAGCAGACAGACCCGCGAACCCGUUCCUAACACAAACGGCGCCCCCGGGCGCCGCCAACCCACCCCCGGCGCGGAUUGCGCCAAGGACCACGAACAAAAUCGCCCCCCGAGCGGCCCGGUCCUCCGGAGCCCGCGCGGCGGCGGCGUGUCGUUUCUACUUAACAAAAAACGACUCUCGGCAACGGAUAUCUCGGCUCUCGCAUCGAUGAAGAACGUAGCGAAAUGCGAUACUUGGUGUGAAUUGCAGAAUCCCGUGAACCAUCGAGUCUUUGAACGCAAGUUGCGCCCGAGGCCUUCUGGCCGAGGGCACGUCUGUCUGGGCGUCACGCACCGCGUCGCCCCCCUCCCCCCUCCGGGGGGACCGGGGGCGGAGACUGGCCCCCCGUGCGCCCCGGCGCGCGGCCGGCCUAAACGCAGACCCCGCGGCCGCGAGAAUGGCGCGACGACCGGUGGCGUACUUCAUGGCAUCACGUCGCGCCCACUGCGGCCCCCCGGGAGAUCAUCGGCCGACACAGCGGACCCUGGUCCAUCGUUGCGACCCCAGAUCAGGCGGGACUACCCGCUGAGUUUAAGCAUAUCU